ensembl:lncRNA
GGAGGGGCCGGCGGCGGGGCCCAUGGGGACCCGUUAGCAGCGGGGAGCGGCCUCCCGGUGCCCGCCGCCUUCCCCGGUACAGGGGCAGCGCUGGCUGCCGCCGGGACGGAGCGGCAGCGGGAGGGCGGGGGGUGCCGGGGCCUCCCUUGUGAUUUUUUUUUUUUAAUUGUAUUUUUUAUUUUUGUUCCUCCUUUCUUCUCUCUCUCCUGGCCCUUCCCGGACUGCGAGAGAUUAUUUUAUGCCUACCUCAUCUUCUUGGAAAGAGGAAGACAAAUGGAACUACGUGAUUCUGUAAACGCCUAGAGAUCAUUCUGGUGUUGUAGGUAAUUACUGUACUUACUCAAUUCCAGUAGUGAAUGAUGCUACAUUGAAUGUGAAUUCAGUCCACGAAGGAUUUGGGCCUUCUAGGUUACACCUUUGUUGUGUUUUGUACUAACGCGUUCCUGAGGGCUUCUUUCUGAUGAGUGCAACACUAGCAGGAUUUGACUUUGCUUUGCUUUUGUGGACUCAGAUCCUAAUGUUUGGAACGUUUGUAUGUGUUUUUAUCAUGUACCAGGUCUGCUCUUUGUCAAAACAUGCUUUACAGAGGACUGUCAGUAAUACUAUAACGCUGAGUUAUAAUCUUUUCAAAAUAUAUGAAAACUUCCAUCCUCUAAUCUUCUAAUCAUUAUAGAAAAAACAGGAAAAUUUCUUACUGAAUCUGUAAGAGAAAGUAUUGCUUUAGAAAAAUGCCUAUGGUAGAAGCCUACGGACUGCUCAGUCAAAUCUCAUUAUGUCAAUAAUAUUAACUGGCUUUUACUAUCUUUCUUUUUUAAAAUGGAAAGCAAUAAGACUUUUCUAAGCCACAGCCAUUUUCAAAUGGAGUAGCUUUGACAUAUACACAAAGCAAAGGGGUAAAAGAAGGUUGGCAGAAAAAAAAAAAAAGGAGUAUUUUCCACAAUCUGGCUUUAUCUGAACUCUUUGUAAAGUAAAAUACUGCUGAAGAAAUAGUGAUGAGAGUAAGAAAGGCAGUGCCAUUAAUUUAGGGUGUCAAAAAAUAAAUCUGGUUUCUGCCCUGUGAGAUACGCCUGCACUGGGAAUGUUGAUAAAACAGUGUCUGUGAAAUAACUGUGUACUUCACCGUUGUCCAGAAUUCAUUCAUGUCACGAUGCAAAUGCUGAAGAGAGGUGGUCUUUCUGUCUAUUUCUUCAUCUGUCAAGUCAGUAGUGAUUUAUGAUGUACAUACUGUUUUUGACAAUAGAUGCUUUAUUUUGUUCUGGGGAGCUGAGAACUUUGAGUGGCUUUGCAGGAGCAGGGAGUCUAGAGGAUUGUUGUAAUCUACACACUGGAAUAACAGGUAGUGUACUUCAAGUUGAUUCAACUCAGAAUGAUUGCUGAGCACUAGAUAUCCUUUGUAGCUGUCUGCUGAGACGAUCCUAGUCCAGAAGUACACAACUCAAGACAAUUUUUUUUUUUAAAGGUGGUGACAGAAUAACUGAGGAUUCUGGGCUAGAGCUGUUAAAAGGUUGUAUUUUUCUUUGGAUGUUUCCUGUGUGUGGCUGUAACACUUGCAAGUUAAGACAUCCUUUGUUUUGAAAGUUUUCAGCUUGAGUCUGUUGCCGUCCUUUGUCCCUUCAAAGACCACAGUGAACAGUAUGGUCACUUUGUAGUUUUUUGGGGAGUUGGUUGUGUUUUUUUAUUGCUUCUUACUAAACACUCAGAAGAACUGUAGUAUUCUUACUCUAGAUCACUAUUUUACAAUAUAUGGAAAUUAUAAUUUUCUGUAUCACAAAUACUUCUCAACAAUCAGUGUAUUGGAAGAAGUUAACUUUUUAGUUGGUAUGGUAAGCAUUUAGAAUAAAUGACAUGCGUGCUUGUAAGCCUCUAGCACUUCAGUAUUUUUAUUUCUCUAGGUCUUGAAGAACAAAAAGCUUGUUAGACAUUUCAGCACCACAUCCCAAGUUUAGCAUUGCCUAAGUGGUAGUGACAGUGGCAAGUAGUAGGCAAGCUACUUUUGAUAGCUAUGACGAUUGUCAGUAUCCACAGUAGGAGAGUACUUGAUGUCAUAUGGUUUACUAUGUAUUUUCCUGGUAGAUCACUGUGGGAGAAAUACUUCUGUUUUACUGCAAGGUAGAAAAUCUGAUUAUCAAGCGGGGCUGCUGAAGAAUAACUGUAUCUUAUGGACAAUGCUGGCAUUUUUAAAGAGGACAAACUGUAAUGUUGAUAAAGGAAUUAAUUUCAAUCUGUUCAUAGGGUUAUUUUACCAGCUCAUUAGCUUUUCAGCUAUAAGUGCAAUUGAUGUUGAAAUUCUGAUGUAUUCCUUGACAACAGGAUUCCAUUUGAAGAACGAUUUUUGAAUAGUAAUCUGUGUUUUUUCCAAGAGUGUCCCUCAGAUUUUCAGAAUUAAUGGAAGACUUUAUAUAAUGGUGCAAGAAGUAUUUGUGAAACAAAAAAUUAAGGUUGAAGAAUGGCUCCCUCUCUUCUAAAAACACAUCUGAAUAGACUUGUCCCAGCGCCUUAGCUGAUACACUGCCAAAAUAAUUGGUCUAUUUAUGUUAACUCUCCAUUAAAUUCUUUAAGAAAUUUUCAGUAAAAUUCCUUGAAAUUUGCAAUGGUUUGUGAUUCAAUAAAUUGUCAUUUAAUUGAACAUUCUAUUUUUAUUUUGUGAAAUCUUGUAUGGUCUUUUAUUAUGCAUUCAGUGAUGGCAGUAUUUUUAUCUUCAAAGACUGUAUUUAUAUUUCUGGACAAACUUUAAACUGUAUUUUAAGUGCUUUCCUAUUUAAGGGGUACAUGCCUUUUUAACUUUGAGAAUUGUCACAGGAACACAGUGAUACAGAAUUGUAGGGGUUCUCUGAAGGGCCCUCUGAAGAUCAGCUACUCCAACCCCCCUGUUGACACAGGUUCUCUGGAGUAGAUUGCACAGGAAAGCGUCCAGGUGGGUUUUGAAUUUCUCCAGAGAAGCAGACCUCACAUCUCUCUUGGGCAGCCUGUUUCAGAGUUCUGUCACCCCUUACAAUUUCAAAAAACCACAAUUUGUCCAAGUGUUUUGCAUGACUUCAGCUUUUUAAGCCUUUGAAAAAUACCUUGAAAAUGUAAGCUGUUUCUCAUUGUUAUACAUCCUCAAUUUUAGGCAGGGAAAGGAGGGAGAGGAUAGGUUUUCAUUCUUUUUAGAUUAAACAUCAGUAACCAGAAGACUGCUGUGGAUACUUUCUUGUUUCAAGUUCUGUUUUUGGUAGUCUUUCUUUGUAUGUUUCCUAUGCUUGCAAUUGAAGACUUUUUGUUCAGCUCUAUAGGCUUUCUGUCUUCAUCAAUAAAGCUCUUGUUCUCACCUUGGCUAAGCAUUACACAAACAGCAUUGGAAAGGAGAACAUAAAAUGAAAAAUUAAUUAGCUUUCUGAAACAGAGGGCAUUAGGAGGCCAGAACCGUGACUAUUUAUUUUAUCAUUCUUUGUUCUGUGAUUACAGU